AUUCGAUUUCUGUAGGUGAACCUGCGGAAGGAUCAUUACCUAGAGUUGUAGGCUUUGCCUGCUAUCUCUUACCCAUGUCUUUUGAGUACCUUCGUUUCCUCGGCGGGUCCGCCCGCCGAUUGGACAAAACUUAAACCCUUUGCAGUUGCGAUCAGCGUCUGAAAAAACUUAAUAGUUACAACUUUCAACAACGGAUCUCUUGGUUCUGGCAUCGAUGAAGAACGCAGCGAAAUGCGAUAAGUAGUGUGAAUUGCAGAAUUCAGUGAAUCAUCGAAUCUUUGAACGCACAUUGCGCCCCUUGGUAUUCCAUGGGGCAUGCCUGUUCGAGCGUCAUUUGUACCUUCAAGCUCUGCUUGGUGUUGGGUGUUUGUCUCGCCUCUGCGUGUAGACUCGCCUCAAAACAAUUGGCAGCCGGCGUAUUGAUUUCGGAGCGCAGUACAUCUCGCGCUUUGCACUCAUAACGACGACGAUCCAAAAGUACAUUUUUACACUCUUGACCUCGGAUCAGGUAGGGAUACCCGCUGAACUUAAGCAUAUCAAUAAGCGGAGGAA
rnacentral:rRNA from 1 species